rnacentral:rRNA from 1 species
UACGUAGGGGGCAAGCGUUGUCCGGAUUUAUUGGGCGUAAAGAGCGUGUAGGCGGCUAGACAGGUCCGUUGUGAAAACUAGAGGCUUAACCUCUAGACGUCGAUGGAAACCGUCUGGCUAGAGUCCGGAAGAGGAGAGUGGAAUUCCUGGUGUAGCGGUGAAAUGCGCAGAUAUCAGGAAGAACACCCGUGGCGAAAGCGGCUCUCUGGAACGGUACUGACGCUGAGACGCGAAAGCGUGGGGAGCGAACAGG